rnacentral:rRNA from 1 species
AUGAAUGUUGGCGGCGCGUCUAAUACAUGCAAGUCGAGCGAGGCUUCGAGCCGAGCGGCGGACGGCAGAGUAAUACGUUGGUAAUUGCCCCUCACUCAGGGAUAACACUGAGAAAUCAGUGCUAAUACCGGAUAGUCCCGCAAGGGUAAAGCUUUUGCGGUGAGGGAGAUGCCUGCGUCCUAUCAGCUAGUUGGUGAGGUAAUGGCUCACCAAGGCGAUGACGGGUAGUUGGUCUGAGAGGAUGGCCAGCCUGAGGGAAACUGAGACACGGUUCCCACUCCUACGGGAGGCAGCAGUAAAGAAUCUUCCACAAUGGACGAAAGUCUGAUGGAGCGACGCCGCGUGCAGGAUGACGGCCUUCGGGUUGUAAACUGCUUUUCUGAGAGAAUAAUUCUGAAGGUAUCUCAGGAAUAAGCACCGGCAAAUCUCGU